UGACCUGUGAGAAGGAGGCGCUGUAC
rnacentral:piRNA from 1 species